GACGAACCGUGCGAACGUUAUUCGGAAUCACUGGGCUUAAAGCGCGUGUAGGCGGGUCGGCACGUCGGUCGCUGAAAUCCCCCGGCUCAACCGGGGAAGUGGCGCCGAUACGACCGACCUGGAGGGGAGUAGGGGGACCUGGAACAUCCGGUGGAGCGGUGAAAUGCGUUGAGAUCGGAUGGAACGCCCGUGGCGAAAGCGAGGUCCUGGGCUCUUUCUGACGCUGAGACGCGAAAGCCAGGGGAGCGAACGGG
rnacentral:rRNA from 1 species